GNAGNGUGANAUAAUGCAAGUCGAGCGAAUGGAUUAAGAGCUUGCUCUUAUGAAGUUAGCGGCGGACGGGUGAGUAACACGUGGGUAACCUGCCCAUAAGACUGGGAUAACUCCGGGAAACCGGGGCUAAUACCGGAUAACAUUUUGAACUGCAUGGUUCGAAAUUGAAAGGCGGCUUCGGCUGUCACUUAUGGAUGGACCCGCGUCGCAUUAGCUAGUUGGUGAGGUAACGGCUCACCAAGGCAACGAUGCGUAGCCGACCUGAGAGGGUGAUCGGCCACACUGGGACUGAGACACGGCCCAGACUCCUACGGGAGGCAGCAGUAGGGAAUCUUCCGCAAUGGACGAAAGUCUGACGGAGCAACGCCGCGUGAGUGAUGAAGGCUUUCGGGUCGUAAAACUCUGUUGUUAGGGAAGAACAAGUGCUAGUUGAAUAAGCUGGCACCUUGACGGUACCUAACCAGAAAGCCACGGCUAACUACGUGCCAGCAGCCGCGGUAAUACGUAGGUGGCAAGCGUUAUCCGGAAUUAUUGGGCGUAAAGCGCGCGCAGGUGGUUUCUUAAGUCUGAUGUGAAAGCCCACGGCUCACCCGUGGAGGGUCAUUGGUAAACUGGGAGACUUGAGUGCAAAAGAGGAAAGUGGAAUUCCAUGUGUAGCGGUGAAAUGCGUAGAGAUAUGGAGGAACACCAGUGGCCAAGGCGACUUUCUGGUCUGUACUGACACUGAGGCGCGAAAGCGUGGGGAGCAACAUGAUAGAUGACGCUGGUAGUCCACGCCGUAAACGAUGAGUGCUAAGUGUAAAGGGAUUCCGCCCUUUAGUGCUGAAGUUACGCAUUACCACUCCGCUGGNGGANUACGGCCGCAAGGNUGAANNNANNNAAUAGACGCGNGCCGCACAGUCGUGAUCUAGUGNUUAAUUCGAUGCACCCNACAAACCNU
rnacentral:rRNA from 1 species